UACGGAGGGUGCAAACGUUGCUCGGAAUCAUUGGGCGUAAAGAGCGUGUAGGCGGCCUGGUAAGUCCGCUGUGAAAGUCCAGGGCUCAACCCUGGAAUGCCGGUGGAAACUGUCAGGCUCGAGUCCGGAAGAGGCGAGUGGAAUUCCUGGUGUAGCGGUGAAAUGCGCAGAUAUCAGGAGGAACACCAAUGGCGAAGGCAGCUCGCUGGGACGGUACUGACGCUGAGACGCGAAAGCGUGGGGAGCAAACAGG
rnacentral:rRNA from 1 species